rnacentral:rRNA from 1 species
GACGAACGCUGGCGGCGUGCUUAACACAUGCAAGUCGAACGGAAAGGCCCUGCUUUUGUGGGGUGCUCGAGUGGCGAACGGGUGAGUAACACGUGAGUAACCUGCCCUUGACUUUGGGAUAACUUCAGGGAACUGGGGCUAAUACCGGAUAGGAGCUCCUGCUGCAUGGUGGGGGUUGGAAAGUUUCGGCGGUUGGGGAUGGACUCGCGGCUUAUCAGCUUGUUGGUGGGGUAGUGGCUUACCAAGGCUUUGACGGGUAGCCGGCCUGAGAGGGUGACCGGCCACAUUGGGACUGAGAUACGGCCCAGGCUCCUACGGGAGGCAGCAGUGGGGAAUAUUGCACAAUGGGCGGAAGCCUGAUGCAGCAACGCCGCGUGCGGGAUGACGGCCUUCGGGUUGUAAACCGCUUUCGCCUGUGACGAAGCGUGAGUGACGGUAAUGGGUAAAGAAGCACCGGCUAACUACGUG